AGAGCGAACGCUGGCGGCAGGCCUAAUACAUGCAAGUCGAACGAGCCCUUCGGGGCUAGUGGCGGACGGGUGAGUAACACGUGGGAACGUGCCUUUUGGUUCGGAACAACUCAGGGAAACUUGAGCUAAUACCGAAUGUGCCCUUCGGGGGAAAGAUUUAUCGCCAUUAGAGCGGCCCGCGUCUGAUUAGCUAGUUGGUGAGGUAAAGGCCCACCAAGGCUACGAUCAGUAGCUGGUCUGAGAGGAUGAUCAGCCACACUGGGACUGAGACACGGCCCAGACUCCUACGGGAGGCAGCAGUAGGGAAUCUUGCGCAAUGGGCGAAAGCCUGACGCAGCCAUGCCGCGUGAAUGAUGAAGGUCUUAGGAUUGUAAAAUUCUUUCAGCGGGGACGAUAAUGACGGUACCGCAGAAGAGCCCGGCUAACUCGUGCCAGCAGCCGC
rnacentral:rRNA from 1 species